rnacentral:lncRNA from 1 species
AACUCUGGUCCCGGGCAGCCAAGACAAAGCGAAAGGCAAGGCAGCAUGAGCCGAUCACCCCUCAAUCCCAGCCAACUCCGAUCAGUGGGCUCCCAGGAUGCCCUGGCCCCCUUGCCUCCACCUGCUCCCCAGAAUCCCUCCACCCACUCUUGGGACCCUUUGUGUGGAUCUCUGCCUUGGGGCCUCAGCUGUCUUCUGGCUCUGCAGCAUGUCUUGGUCAUGGCUUCUCUGCUCUGUGUCUCCCACCUGCUCCUGCUUUGCAGUCUCUCCCCAGGAGGACUCUCUUACUCCCCUUCUCAGCUCCUGGCCUCCAGCUUCUUUUCAUGUGGUAUGUCUACCAUCCUGCAAACUUGGAUGGGCAGCAGGUGAGAGGAACCUCCCUGGAGAGAGGGGCAGAGUCCUGGAGGGUAGGAGAGGUUUGGGGGAGCCUUGCUGGCUGCCACAUAGUCCCAGACCUGCUGGGGCUGCUGUUCCUACAGGCUGCCUCUUGUCCAGGCUCCAUCCUUAGAGUUCCUUAUCCCUGCUCUGGUG